GACGGAGGGAGCAAGCGUUGUCCGGAAUUACUGGGCGUAAAGAGCUCGUAGGCGGGGGCUUAAGUCCGGGAGUAAAUCCAUCGGCUCAACCGGUGAAUCAUCCUGGAUACUGGGCUUCUUGAGGACAGGAGAGGAAAGGGGAAUUCCUAGUGUAGCGGUGAAAUGCGUAGAUAUUAGGAGGAACACCUGUGGCGAAGGCGCCUUUCUGGCCUGAUCCUGACGCUGAGGAGCGAAAGCCAGGGGAGCGAACGGG
rnacentral:rRNA from 1 species